GACGAACGCUGGCGGCGUGCUUAACACAUGCAAGUCGAACGGAAAGGCCCUGCUUUUGUGGGGUGCUCGAGUGGCGAACGGGUGAGUAACACGUGAGUAACCUGCCCUUGACUUUGGGAUAACUUCAGGAAACUGGGGCUAAUACCGGAUAGGAGCUCCUGCUGCAUGGUGGGGGUUGGAAAGUUUCGGCGGUUGGGGAUGGACUCGCGGCUUAUCAGCUUGUUGGUGGGGUAGUGGCUUACCAAGGCUUUGACGGGUAGCCGGCCUGAGAGGGUGACCGGCCACAUUGGGACUGGGAUACGGCCCAGACUCCUACGGGAGGCAGCGGUGGGAAAUAUUGCACAAUGGGCGGAAGCCUGAUGCAGCACCGCCGCGUGCGGGAUGACGGCCUUCGGGUUGUAAACCGCUUUCGCCUGUGACGAAGCGUGAGUGACGGUAAUGGGUAAAGAAGCACCGGCUAACUACGUG
rnacentral:rRNA from 1 species